UACGGGGGGGGCAAGCGUUGUUCGGAAUUACUGGGCGUAAAGGGCGCGUAGGCGGUUGGAUAAGUCAGCUGUGAAAACCACGGGCUUAACUCGUGGCCUGCAGUUGAAACUGUCUGGCUUGAGUGUGGGAGAGGAGAGUGGAAUUCCUGGUGUAGCGGUGAAAUGCGUAGAUAUCAGGAGGAACACCGAUGGCGAAGGCAGGUCUCUGGGCUGACACUGACGCUCAUGCACGAAAGCGUGGGGAGCAAACGAGGAUUACGAAACCCGU
rnacentral:rRNA from 1 species